rnacentral:rRNA from 1 species
ACAGGGAUUGCCCUAGUAACGGCGAGUGAAGCGGCAACAGCUCAAAUUUGAAAUCUGGCUCUUUCAGAGUCCGAGUUGUAAUUUGCAGAGGGCGCUUUGGCUUUGGCAGCGGUCCAAGUUCCUUGGAACAGGACGUCACAGAGGGUGAGAAUCCCGUACGUGGUCGCUAGCUAUUGCCGUGUAAAGCCCCUUCGACGAGUCGAGUUGUUUGGGAAUGCAGCUCUAAAUGGGAGGUAAAUUUCUUCUAAAGCUAAAUAUUGGCCAGAGACCGAUAGCGCACAAGUAGAGUGAUCGAAAGAUGAAAAGCACUUUGGAAAGAGAGUCAAACAGCACGUGAAAUUGUUGAAAGGGAAGCGCUUGCAGCCAGACUUGCUUGCAGUUGCUCAUCCGGGCUUUUGCCCGGUGCACUCUUCUGCAGGCAGGCCAGCAUCAGUUUGGGCGGUGGGAUAAAGGUCUCUGUCACGUACCUUCCUUCGGGUUGGCCUUAUAGGGGAGACGCCAUACCACCAGCCUGGACUGAGGUCCGCGCAUCUGCUAGGAUGCUGGCGUAAUGGCUGUAAGCGGCCCGUCUUGAAACACGGACCAAGGAGUCUAACAUCUAUGCGAGUGUUUGGGUGUCAAGCCCGAGCGCGUAAUGAAAGUGAACGGAGGUGGGAACCCGCAAGGGUGCACCAUCGACCGAUCCUGAAGUUUACGGAAGGAUUUGAGUAAGAGCAUGGCUGUUGGGACCCGAAAGAUGGUGAACUAUGCUUGAAUAGGGUGAAGCCAGAGGAAACUCUGGUGGAGGCUCGCAGCGGUUCUGACGUGCAAAUCGAUCGUCAAAUUUGGGCAUAGGGGCGAAAGACUAAUCGA